AAGGCCUGAUGUGUGUGAGAUUACCCGCUGAAUUUAAGCAUAUAAGUAAGCGGAGGAAAAGAAACUAACUAGGAUUCCCUUAGUAAUGGCGAAUGAACAGGGAUCAGCUCAGUGCCAAAUCGGAAUCACUUGUGGUUCUGAAAUGUGGCUUGAAGGCAGUACCAGUGGCAUCGCGGACGAAAGUCUCUUGGAAAAGAGCGUCAUAGAGGGUGAGAAUCCCGUGAGUCGUUCGCCGUUUGUCACGUACGGUCUGCGUUCUAACGAGUCGCGUUCCUUGGGAUUGGAGCGUAAACGGGUGGUAAAUUUCAUCCAAAGCAAAAUAUAUACUCGAGACCGAUAGCACAAAAGUACCGUGAGGGAAAGUGAAAAGAACUUUGAGAAGAGGGUUAAAUAGUGCCUGAAAUCGUUGAGAAGGAAGCGGAUGCCGCCGUUGCAUAUGCUGAUUGUAGGAUUGCUGCUCGCUCCUGUCUUCUGCUACUCAUUCACAGACCUGGUCG
rnacentral:ncRNA from 1 species